UCCCAGAUAGCUUAAUGGUAAAGCACCCAACCGACAAUUGGGGGAUCUGGGUUCAUAUCUCGGUCCGGGGU
rfam:Strigamia maritima strain Brora ctg7180000796221, whole genome shotgun sequence.